rnacentral:rRNA from 1 species
UUUUAUCAGAGAGUUUGAUCCUGGCUCAGGAUGAACGCUGGCGGCGUGCUUAACACAUGCAAGUCGAACGGGAAACAUUUUAUUGAAGCUUCGGCAGAUUUAGCUUGUUUCUAGUGGCGGACGGGUGAGUAACGCGUGGGUAACCUGCCUUAUACUGGGGGAUAACAGCCAGAAAUGACUGCUAAUACCGCAUAAGCGCACAGAACCGCAUGGUUCGGUGUGAAAA